rnacentral:lncRNA from 1 species
GGCCUCAGUCCUUCGCCGUCCCUCGCCGUCCUUCGCCAUCGCACGCCACCGCACCCCAUCUCUCGAAAUCUGCAGACAUCUUGAUUUUUCCCACGCUGUCUGUCAGGUCUCCGCCGCCACUCGACGCCAGGGCGCCGGGUGAGUCCACAGCAGGGCGCAUGGUCGGCUCCACUCUCACCAUCGGGGGAAACUGAGGCCCCGGGGAAGGCGGCCAGAGAGGUCAGGCCCUGUCCUUGGUGCAGUGUCUCGUCCUCUUUGCCGGAGUGAGCCCCCCAGGAUUCGCGUGUCCUCGGGAAAGACACUGGCAGGCCUUGUGGGCUGUGCUGCACCUCGGACGGCUUCGCACCAGCCAGCGCCCUCUCUCUCCUGCAGCACUCUGAUCUGCACCCCCUGAGGGGCUUCCACUGUCCGCGGGGUGAGAAUGCCCCUGGGAGUGUCACAUGACUGCCGCCCCAUGUGUGUGAGAGGCGUCCUCUGGGAGAGCAUGGAUCCUGAGGUCCCAGGAACAUCCCGAGAGCCAAGUUCCCAGAUGCCAGCCAAGGGCCAUCUGACCUGUUUUGAAUCUCAAUUUCCUGAUACAGAAAACAAAGGAUUGUCAGCUGACCUCUGUCCUGUGUGCCCAGUGGCCCCAGGUGACGUGUCUUCAAGAAGAGGCUGAGCUGCGGUGCUUGUAAGAGUCAUGUGCUGUUCCUGGGGCUUGGAUGAUGUAGGGGAAGCAAGGUGAAAGUGGUAUCCCGUGGUUCCACGUUCUGUCCUGCUGUGGGGCUGUCCCUCACAUGCUUUCAGUGGCUGUUGCAGAGGAAGAGCCUCCGGAAAUCUGCGUGGGUAAAGUCUCAGCCUUAGAUCCAAGGACAGUCCAAGGAAGUCCUAAGACCAUGGAGUUGGUGAUCUGGGAUCUGGGUUUGCUGAUAUUUCUCACCGUGAAUCUCUUGGUGGUGUUUGUGGGCACGAGAGGGGCAGAGAAUGGAGAGUGAGGCUACCACAUGAAGCGUCACCAGAGCUGCUCCCUGCUGCCUGCUCAGAGCACCCCGGAUCCACUGUUCAAUCUGCACAAGAUUCGGGGUCCAGACAUGGGAGACUUCAGCUGCCUCAGAGGACCGUGGACAGGGAAGGCCAGCCUCGCAUCCCUCUGUCCAUGCCUGGAAUGACUUUAAUAACCAAGAGUUUUAUUUUUGAAUUUGUAGCUGUCGUUCACUUUUUACCCACCCAUUCAAUAAACCUUACAGAAUU